ACUAUUACAACAAGAUCAUCGAUGAUUUGUUAACAAUUGGGGUCACGCCCAUAGUGACCCUCUAUCACUUUGAUUUGCCUCAGGCCUUGGAAGACCAAGGAGGUUGGUUGUCAGAGGCAAUCGCUGAAUCCUUCGACAAAUAUGCCCGGUUUUGCUUCAGUACAUUUGGGGAUCGAGUCAAGCAGUGGAUCACUAUAAAUGAGCCUAAUAUUUUUGCCCUGCUGGCAUAUGAGUGUGGUGCAUUUUCUCCUGGUGUGCCUUACGUUGGAACUAAAGUUUCUCAAGCAGCUCAUAAUUUGAUUAAAGCUCAUGCCAGAUCCUGGCACAGCUAUGAAUCCUUAUUCUGAAAAGAGCAGAAAGGAAUGGUGUCUCUCUCAAUUUUUGCUGGCUGGGUGGAACCAGCAGAUCCCAACUCAGUGUCUGACCAGGAAGCAGCUAAAAGCCAUGGCUUUCCAGUUGGAUUUCUUUGCUAAGCCCAUAUUUAUUGACGGCGAUUAUCCUGAAGUUGUCAAGUCGCAGGUUGCCCUCAUGAGUAAAAAACAAGGUUUUCCAUCGUCCAGGCUUCAAGAAUUUACAGAAGAAGAGAAGAAAAUGAUCAAAGGCACUGCUGAUUUCUUUGCUGUGCAGAAUUAUAUGACUUGCUGAGUCAAGUACCAGGAGAACAAGAAAGGAGAACUGGGUUUACUCCAGAAUGCGGAAGUUGAAGUUUUUCGAGACCCAUCUUGUAUAAGUUUGGACUGGGUCUAUGUGGUGCCAUGGGGAAUACGUAAACUACUGAAAUACAUUAAGGAUAUGUAUAAUAACCCUGUAAUUUACAUCACAGAGAAUGGGUUUCCCCAGGGUGACCCGACAUCUUUUGAUGAUGCUCUGCGCUAGGAGUAUUUCAGACAGACAUUUCAGGAGCUGUUCAAAGGCUUUGAGAGCUGAGAGGAACCAUGGAAAUCGUCGAGUCCAUCCUUCGUGUUUCAUGGAUUAAAAGCGA